CUCUUCUCUUUGCCUACGACAACAUUCAGACCAACCAGCACCACAAUUACUAUUCCACCCCCCAGAACUACUACUCGACCUCCCAAACACACUACGCCACCCCUCAGAACUAAAGCAGAUCCUUCUGUGGAACGAUCUAGUCUGAGGUUUGGCUCAGCCAGGACAUCGAGCAAUGCUUUAUGGUCGUCUUCCCCCUCAAGUCAAUUUAUCUGCCCACAUUGAUGCGGCAGGAAUUUAAAGGGACCAUAAGGUGAUGGGGGGGAGGUUUAUUUGGACCAGCUUUUCCGAUGUUCUCAUUUCUGAAAACCAUCCAUCCCAUCACCCAACAUUGGUGCAAUGAACUCCUCAGAGCCUUCAGCACAUGGACUCCCCUCUGUGAGUUGGGAUGUGCUUUUUGCACUUAUUGUGGGCCUGUAUUUCAUAUUUGGAUCAGUUGGAGUAGUUGUAGGCCAGAAUGUGGUGUUGGUGGUGGCGAGAUUUUUCCAUUUUUGGAGAGUACGCUUUUUAUAUUCCAUCAUCAGAGCACGAACGCCUAGUCCAUCCGAGACGAUCAAGUGAAAGCAUUCUGGAUCUGUCAGUACUAGGAUCCAACGUGCACUGAUGUUAACAUGUGACUCUUUCUUGAAUUCCUUUAUUGCGUUGCCAAGGAGCCCGUGCUUAAAUCCAAGGUAGUACAUUUCCACGCUUCCCAAAGACAAAGACACCCGGUUCCUACAAUCCCAGAACCGUCGACUGAGAUAUAGUGUGAUAAGUGUGACGAGGAAGACUAACUCUACUUACAUCCUCUAAUAUUUUGUAUAUCAUUCUCCAGGGAUGCCUGAAAUGGUGCCAUCGUAUGAUUUUCCUAGCCGAAAACAUGUCGCACAGAAUUAAUGUUUGUAUUGAACAUGCUUCAUAAGCUUUAUAUCAUCAUUCCUCUAUAUUUGUAUUUCAGGAGCGCGAUUGGUCAGCAAUCGAUGUCCCAUGUCCAGCUUAAAUGAAGAAGCCCUUUCCAUUUCCCUAAAAAAAUAAUAAUCAUUUUGUGUUUUAGCAAAAAAAUAUAUAAAUGUAAUCCCCUAAUUUGCUGCUUCAUAUGUUAUGAGCUGUGUACAAGAUAAUACCAGCAAUCAUUUGGCUGAAGCAAUCAUUAGUUGUGUAAAUAUUAUAUAUGGGCAGCUGUGGGAUUGAAACUCCAUAUGCACCUGCUGUUAUUGGAUUUAUUUUUAAAAUGUGUUUUAAAUUGCAUCUUGCAGGGUUUUGUGUAUGCUGUAUGAAAAAAAGCGGAUGAUUUUAAUUGAUUUGGAUGUUUUAAGUCAGCCUCGUGUCUCAUAUCCUUGCUUUCUGCCAGCUAAUGUGUAGCAAAGCUUUUCAGUUAUGAGAGAUCUUAAGCGUUAAUUGAUGGCAAUGUUAUGCGUUUGAUCGAAUGCUGAUUGGGUUCAUUUCCUGACAAACCGCAGACAGGAUGGGGCUGUGUAUGAGUUGGUUGGUUUGUUUUAUUUUUCAUCUUUAUUAAUUUAUAAAUGUGAGUCUGGUCUGAAAAAUGUUACUGUGAAAUUUAUAUCAACUCUUGAAUCUCGCAAAAGAGCAAAGCCUUUGUUUUUUUUUGUUUGAGGCCAAUGAAUGUAACCCGUUUACCCAUGUUCAUAGUUCAUUAAAGAUGUACACAAGCACUACCAUAAAAAAAUAAAGUU